rnacentral:rRNA from 1 species
ACUGAUGGCGACCGGCGCACGGGUGAGUAACACGUAUCCAACCUGCCGUCUACUCUUGGACAGCCUUCUGAAAGGAAGAUUAAUACAAGAUGGCAUCAUGAGUCCGCAUGUUCACAUGAUUAAAGGUAUUCCGGUAGACGAUGGGGAUGCGUUCCAUUAGAUAGUAGGCGGGGUAACGGCCCACCUAGUCUUCGAUGGAUAGGGGUUCUGAGAGGAAGGUCCCUCACAUUGGAACUGAGACACGGUCCAAACUCCUACGGGAGGCAGCAGUGAGGAAUAUUGGUCAAUGGGCGAGAGCCUGAACCAGCCAAGUAGCGUGAAGGAUGACUGCCCUAUGGGUUGUAAACUUCUUUUAUAAAGGAAUAAAGUCGGGUAUGCAUACCCGUUUGCAUGUACUUUAUGAAUAAGGAUCGGCUAACUCCGUGCCAGCAGCCGCGGUAAUACGGAGGAUCCGAGCGUUAUCCGGAUUUAUUGGGUUUAAAGGGAGCGUAGAUGGAUGUUUAAGUCAGUUGUGAAAGUUUGCGGCUCAACCGUAAAAUUGCAGUUGAUACUGGAUAUCUUGAGUGCAGUUGAGGCAGGCGGAAUUCGUGGUGUAGCGGUGAAAUGCUUAGAUAUCACGAAGAACUCCGAUUGCGAAGGCAGCCUGCUAAGCUGCAACUGACAUUGAGGCUCGAAAGUGUGGG